rnacentral:rRNA from 1 species
AUUGAACGCUGGCGGAAUGCUUUACACAUGCAAGUCGAACGGCAGCACGGGGCAACCUGGUGGCGAGUGGCGAACGGGUGAGUAAUACAUCGGAACGUGCCCAAUCGUGGGGGAUAACGUAGCGAAAGUUACGCUAAUACCGCAUACGAUCUACGGAUGAAAGCGGGGGAUCGCAAGACCUCGCGCGAAUGGAGCGGCCGAUGUCAGAUUAGGUAGUUGGUGGGGUAAAGGCUCACCAAGCCGACGAUCUGUAGCUGGUCUGAGAGGACGACCAGCCACACUGGGACUGAGACACGGCCCAGACUCCUACGGGAGGCAGCAGUGGGGAAUUUUGGACAAUGGGCGCAAGCCUGAUCCAGCCAUUCCGCGUGCAGGAUGAAGGCCUUCGGUUGUAACUGCUUUGUACGGUAACG